ACACAGCUUUGGUGAGAGCUGCGAACGAUGGCAAGUGGGGAACGUUCCCCAUUGUCUCUUCUGCCAUCCGGAGAGCGUUCCUGAGAAAUGGAUGUACGCCUGUGAUAAUAGACUGACAAGGGAGAAAUGUGGGGGAUGGAUUGUGGGGAGUGGAUUCAUCUUCUCUGAGCAACUGGCCAGGCAGAGUUUCAGACGGGGCUCAUUUCCUUCAGGUCUCCGCUCAUCAUCCACUCAGAAGCUCUACUGUCACUCUUGUCACCACCUGACAUAAGCAUGCAUUCCCUUGCUUACCUGGCUCCUCAGGCCUGAGAGCCAGGGAUGAUCUGUUCCCUGCCUUAUCCCAGCACCUGAGACAAUGCCUGGAUCACAGCAGGGGUUCCACAGAUCCCUACUGAGUGACUGUGGCAGUCAGUGGUAGCUGUUCCCUAGCUUGCCUGCUGGACCCCUGGAAACAGAAAAGGAUGCCAGAUAUCAACUUUGGAAUAAUCUAAUCUUAUUUCAAGGACGAGGCAACUGAGGCUCGGAGAGGUCAUGGUUUGCUCCAAAUCUUGCUGGGCUCAGAGGACCCAACUGAGGCUCAGUGGACCACUGACCAGCGUGGCCUUUGGGAGCAUAGCACGGUUGUGCUGAAAACAAUGACAUGUGAUAGGGUGAUGGAGAGACGCUGGAAAGGACUCUCCUGGACAAUCCUGGGACACUGCCGACGUAUAAAGGGAAGUUCUGAUCUCACAGAGACAGAAUGAAGGAGGACGAUCAGGAGCCACCACGCCAUGUCAGGCUGCACACCUGGGGACGGCAAUGCAGGACAGCAGAUGGCCGCACUGAGAGCUAACAGCUGGCUGUCGUGGUACAAGGGGAGAAUCAGCAAAGAAUCUAGAAGGACAGAGGCAAAAUUCAUUUUUCUUCUCUACAGCAGACACACAAACACACACAUACACAGCCUCACCACACCCUCACACUCAUAUAAGAACUCACGUAUACACACCAACAUACACAACUCACACACUCCCUACUUCACGAAGGAAGACCAAAUACAUCCAGAUGUGGGGAAAGAGCUUCUCGUCACUGGAACUGCAAAUAUGACCUUUUCUUUCUACUGCUAGUCUUCUCACCCACCCUCAAGAUUCUCAGAAGCACAGAAGGGGACCGUCCCAAAGGCAGUCUGCAAGGCUGGGGGUGGGGAGGGGCGGCGCUGAUUUGUUCACUCCAGGCAGAUCGCUUCUGCAAGAGGAUUUCAGUAUGAAAUCAAGACUCUCACAUCUGUAUCCUCAGAAAAUCAGAACUUUCAGAACCAAGAGAUUGGUUUCCACUAAAUGCGUGAUUUACGGAAGACCAAGCAAGACGUGCCUGCUGACAGAUAAGCAUCUGCCUGAAAUCUCUCCCCUCCUUCAAGUCAUCAAAGUUUCUGCUUCAAGUCUGGCUGGACUUCCCCUCUUUGCAUUCCUUUCCCUUAACUAUAGCCCACCCCAAACCCCUCAACCGGCUGGCCUGCAGCUUCUCACAACACGGUUUCCUGAAUUAUGUCCUCUGCUCCUCCCAAAUAGACCCAACUUUUGAUAAUUUGA